AAAUUUCCGUUUGAUUGGGCUCUACAAUCAGGUGUUUUUGCGGCAGGGUAGAUGUAAUCGACGCCUGAGCUUCUUCUCACUUUCGGAAACGGCGACCCUCAUGGAAUCCACCUUGGAGUUUCUGGGAGACGAUUAGUCACGGCCAGUCUAUGGUGGGAGCCGUCAUUCCGUGUUGAAUCGUCUAGAUUUCUUCUCACCGGCUAUGUGAAUCUGGAAGCGUCACAGACUGCAAUCGUUGGCAUUAGCGGUUUUAUUAACUCCGGCAUGAAUGGGCAAAUAGACUCGACGAUCGUUACGGACAGGAAUCGUUUCUUUAAAUCUUCUUCCUCCUUUCUUCACUAUCACCACAAGUAGAAAGAUGACCAUCAUGAAUGCUUGAGUCAACUGUAAUUUUUUCCUCAAGAUCUAAAAAAAGAAGAUUGAAUAAUCUAAGAUAUAGAAAAGCUUUGCAAUUUGGUGUUUGGCGUUUUUUAUAAAUCUACAAUAAUCAUUUUGAGAUUGUUUCUUCUCCUGUUUCAUUACAUCUCAGUGUUUGCUAAUCUUUUCUGCUCAUUUUAACAUGUAACUUCACUUCACUGUGGUUCUACAACAUAUUGUCUGAGUGUUUUUUUACGCUCAAGCCAACCAGAAGUUACUGGGCGUGGAUGUGGAGCAUGAGGUGAUGUCGCUACCAGUAAUGACCCUAAGUUCAUGGCUGGCUUUUCCUAAAUACAACUUCUGGUACACAUUUAUAUAUACUUUGACAAAGAAACAAGUGACAGUGACAACCUUCGUAGCCAGGUAGUUUUCUCUAGCUUUAACAAUUUAUUCAUGAGAAAAAUACGGCUGUUUUUUGUAGCUUUGGUAAUGGUGAGUUAGCCUCUUCCACAAGUUCCAUCAAAUAUGUUGGUGUUAAUAAAAUAGAAACAGUAACAGUGUCAGAGCUCAACACCUAUGUGGUCAACUCUAAACCUCAGGUACCGUGUGGAGAUGACCAUCUCGGAUGCGAUAGACUCGGGUGUGUUUGAUGCAGAAAUGCUAAGUUAACAAAUGUGCGUGCGGCAGGAAGCGGGAGAGCUCAUGAACUAUGCAGCUGAUGGGUAUAUAAAAGAGAAAGUAGCAUUUUUGUGACUGGACUUAGUAUUUACACAGCUCCUGUUGAGAUAUGUGAGAAGCUUGCUAUUCCUGAAGCUGAAUGGCCACGAGCUAUUGGUGAAUUGUGCGGUUUGAUUCAUAUCAAAGAGGCUCUGUUCUAACACCGCAUCGAUAUAUAUGUUUUAGCUUUGUCUCAACAUCGAUGGAGUGAAAGAAGACACUGAAUGGAUGUCAAAGGUAAGCUUGAAAAGGGGAAGAGAUAUGGCUGAACUGGUAUCAAAAUAUGGUCUGCCGUCACUGGCACAACUACAUGGCUGAACUGGAAAAGUGCUGGAGGAAAAUAAGGUGGUCUUUACAUGAAUACUACUUGGUCCAAGAAGAACAAUACGAACGCAAUUUGUAGCUAAUUAAUCAUACCCUUAAAAAUUUACAGUACGAAUGAAAUCCUUGAGAGAUGUCCAAAAUAUUUUUAUUAUAAACAUAGAAAUUCAACCAUUUU